rnacentral:misc_RNA from 1 species
GUGAAUCAUCGAAUUUUUGAACGCAAAUUGCACUCUCCUCGGAGAGUAGGCGUGUUUGAGGGUGAGCCUAUAAAAAAUCGACAUCGUUUCUGUUUCGCGGGGGCGUUCGUCGGUAAUUGGGUCAUCUUAAAUCCUUUUGAUUUAUUCGACUUAAAAGUUUCUGUUGGUUCCAUGAACGUUUCUAAGAUCUAUGUCUUUACACGUUUGAGGUAUCGAUUUUUACUAUACGUCAC